GUGAAUACCUUGGCUUAACCGAGGAAGGGCAUUUGAAACUGCUUGGCUUGAGUACGGGAGGGGGAAGUGGAAUUCCCGGUGUAGAGGUGAAAUUCGUAGAUAUCGGGAGGAACACCGGUGGCGAAGGCGGCUUUCUGGACCGAUACUGACGCUGAGACGCGAAAGCGUGGGGAGCAAACAGGAUUAGAUACCCUGGUAGUCCACGCCUUAAACGUUGGGCACUAGGUGUUGUGGGUAUUGACCCCUGCAGUGCCAAGGGCGAAUUCCACAGUGGAUA
rnacentral:rRNA from 1 species